rnacentral:tRNA from 1 species
GAUAAAAUUGCUGAAAUAAAAUGAGCGAUAAAUUGUAAAUUUAUUYAUGARUUUAUAGAUUCUUUUAUCA